rnacentral:tRNA from 1 species
GUGGUGGCUCAGCGGUAAAGCACUCGCCUCGCACGUGCGAGUCCCUGGUGAAACCCUGGGUUCGAUCCUCAGCACCACA